GCAAGAAGGCAACCAUGAGCAAGCCAAGAAGAGAGCCCUCAAGGGGGAACCAAAAGGCUGGCUGGUACCUUGAUCUUGGGGUUUCCAGCCUCCAGAAUGGAGUCAUGGCUUCUGUUAAUUGACCAUCUGGCCGCACGCUAGGAAAAAGAAUCCUCUGGAAACACUAUGGAGUGAUGGAGAAAGCACCAUCUGGGGAGUCAGAUGACCUGCUCUCUAUCCCAGCUCAUCAGGGAGUCUCUGAGACAAACACUUACCAGAGCCACUCUUGAUGAUAGAAUUGGUGAUGUGACAGCCACCAAAGGAAUGUGACACAAAGUAGAAAUGAGACCUGAGAUGUGGCCUGGACCUUUACCAUGGAAAUGCCCAUAAAUUGCGUCCCUAUUCCUUAAGAUUUUAUUUAAAGU